AGGUUUAACCAUGAUGUAAUACUACAGUAGAUGACAACAGGUUUAACCAUGAUGUAAUACUACAGUAGAUGACAACAGGUUUAACCAUGAUGUAAUACUACAGUAGAUGACAACAGGUUUAACCAUGAUGUAAUACUACAGUAGGUGGUGACAACAGGUUUAACCAUGAUGUAAUACUACAGUAGAUGGUGACAACAGGUUUAACCAUGAUGUAAUACUACAGUAGAUGGUGACAACAGGUUUAACCAUGAUGUAAUACUACAGUAGAUGACAACAGGUUUAACCAUGAUGUAAUACUACAGUAGAUGACAACAGGUUUAACCAUGAUGUAAUACUACAGUAGAUGACAACAGGUUUAACCAUGAUGUAAUACUACAGUAGAUGACAACAGGUUUAACCAUGAUGUAAUACUACAGUAGAUGACAACAGGUUUAACCAUGAUGUAAUACUACAGUAGAUGACAACAGGUUUAACCAUGAUGUAAUACUACAAUAGAUGACAACAGGUUU